CUCUCCUGUUCCAGGUCAGGCACUUUGGAUUUAACCUUGCAGCCGAGGCUCAGCUGCCCUGACAACCUGCUGUUCGUUUCUACAGCAACACCUCCUGCAAAGGUAGCCCAGAGUGUCCUUGGCCACCGGCUUCCUGGGGUGAUAAAAAUAGCUGAGGGCCUACAGCUGCUGAAUGAUGAAUUCUGGAAGGAGAUGAUUGAUCCUCACAGCUGAGCCUCGAGGAAAGAAGAGUUCUUAUUGGUCCUCUGGUAUUUGGUGACAUGAGGUGGUGGGAGAUGUCAUGGAACACUUUCCAGAAGUAAGGACAUUGGAGUAGAGCCUUUUAAAAGACCAUGGCAGUAAUGCUGGGAUGUAGCAUGAGGACCUUACCAGAUGUGGCCAGUGACCUUGAGCUUCUCAGCUUCCAGAACUGUUAGCCAUCCAGCACUGAGAAGUGGCACCUGGAAUGGAAAAAGKUGUCUACAACCUGACCCAGAGCUAGAGAUGUGCAGAUGUCAAGAAAAAAGAAAGUCUAUAAUAUGUCAAAAUAUACCC